GCCUUUUCUCACUUUUGAGACAAAAGGUUACAAGUCUGCUGUUAUUCAAGAUGUGCCCAUAUCUAAGCCCUUGUCAAGGUCUGAUGUACUUGAAUUACAAGCAGCCCUUGAUAUGGCCCAAGAUUUGCCUCAGACCCUUAUACAAGUCCCACACAUGCACCAGUUACAGAACUUUGUGGAAAAAAUGAAAAAUGUCGGUGAUGUCCUUAAUGUUUCUAUUAGCAAGUAUGGUGAUCUCCAUCUGCAAGUUUCUACUAGCCUCAUCACACUUGGUGCUGAGUUCCGAAAGCUGUCAGUUAUAGGAGACCAAGCACAGAGUCCAACAGA
rnacentral:misc_RNA from 1 species